rnacentral:rRNA from 1 species
GACGAACGCUGGCGGCGUGCUUAACACAUGCCAGUCGAACGGUAAGGCCCCUUCGGGGGUACACGAGUGGCGAACGGGUGAGUAACACGUGGGUGAUCUGCCCUGCACUUCGGGAUAAGCCUGGGAAACUGGGUCUAAUACCGGAUAGGACCACGCUCUGCAUGGAGUGUGGUGGAAAGCUUUUGCGGUGUGGGAUGGGCCCGCGGCCUAUCAGCUUGUUGGUGGGGUGAUGGCCUACCAAGGCGACGACGGGUAGCCGGCCUGAGAGGGUGUCCGGCCACACUGGGACUGAGAUACGGCCCAGACUCCUACGGGAGGCAGCAGUGGGGAAUAUUGCACAAUGGGCGCAAGCCUGAUGCAGCGACGCCGCGUGGGGGAUGACGGCCUUCGGGUUGUAAACCUCUUUCAGUACCGACGAAGCGCAAGUGACGGUAGGUACAGAAGAAGCACCGGCCAACUACGUG